rnacentral:rRNA from 1 species
AGCGAACGCUGGCGGCAGGCCUAACACAUGCAAGUCGAACGGAUCCUUCGGGAUUAGUGGCGGACGGGUGAGUAACACGUGGGAACGUGCCCUUUGGUUCGGAACAACUCAGGGAAACUUGAGCUAAUACCGGAUGUGCCCUUCGGGGGAAAGAUUUAUCGCCAUUGGAGCGGCCCGCGUCUGAUUAGCUAGUUGGUGAGGUAACGGCCCACCAAGGCGACGAUCAGUAGCUGGUCUGAGAGGAUGAUCAGCCACACUGGGACUGAGACACGGCCCAGACUCCUACGGGAGGCAGCAGUGGGGAAUCUUGCGCAAUGGGCGAAAGCCUGACGCAGCCAUGCCGCGUGAAUGAUGAGGGUCUUAGGAUUGUAAAAUUCUUUCAGCGGGGACGAUAAUGACGGUACCCGCAGAAGAAGCUCCGGCUAACUUCGU